GUCAGUAUUUAUCCUCUGAGUUAGUAUUUCAGGGGGAAGAGGGGGCUAACAUUGAGUAGACAAAUGAUGAGGUUCCAUUCAUUUUCAACUUUAUUAUUGUUACAUUUUCUUUUAGCGGGACAUAGCACAGAUCCGGAAAUGGUGGUGCAUUAUGCUCAUGGAACGGUACCAGAUUGAAGGCCACGGACAGAGGUUUUCUUACUGGACCAAUGAGGCCGAAGAGCUGCUCAAAGGGGCACUGGAGCCAGUGUACAGGGUCUCAAAGAAGCAAAAGACAGAACAUGAGGUCCAGUUUCAAAAGUCCGACAUGUGCUUCAUAUUGGAGCUGCCAAACUGUCUUCUCUCGGACCUUCUGAUGGAAGUGGUUCUCCAGGAAGGUGACAAAGCGUACUCA